rnacentral:rRNA from 1 species
UCGGGAAUUUUGGGCAAUGGGGGAAACCCUGACCCAGCAACGCCGCGUGAAGGAUGAAGUAUUUCGGUAUGUAAACUUCGAAAGAAUAGGAAGAAUAAAUGACGGUACUAUUUUAUAAGGUCCGGCUAACUACGUGCCAGCAGCCGCGGUAAUACGUAGGGUGCAGGCGUUAAUCGGAAUUACUGGGCGUAAAGCGUGCGCAGGCGGCUCCUUAAGUCAGAUGUGAAAUCCCCGGGCUUAACCUGGGAACUGCGUUUGAAACUGAGGGGCUAGAGUGUGGAAGAGGGGGGUGGAAUUCCAGGUGUAGCAGUGAAAUGCGUAGAGAUCUGGAGGAACACCGAUGGCGAAGGCAGCCCCCUGGGCUAACACUGACGCUCAUGCACGAAAGCGUGGGGAGCAAACAGGAUUAGAUACCCGCGUAGUCCCUGAGCGGGCUGGCAAGGCGCAU